GUACCUGUGCCUGACUGACCCCCUUCCUAAAAGAUCUGUUGGAACCCAACUAUCCAAGGACUCUACUAAGACUCACGUCAGAAGCAGAGACUCUAUCUCUCAGCAUCCCACUUCAAUGAGAAUGCCAACCGGCCACAGUCAACAAGAGCUCUGGGAGGUCCUGCCCUUAAACUGGCCUUCCCUAAAGCAAAGAAAGGGGGAUACAGCCUCAAAUGAGGGAAAACUGAGCCGACAUUCUGCUAUGUGUUGUCCCUGACCCAGCACCUUUUACUGAAGAGCUGCAGAAGAUCACCAUUCCAGAGGAUCUCAGCGCUGAGCCAGUCAGAGCUCAGGUUCUUGUUAUUAUCAGACUACUUCUACUCCAGUUCAUAUCACUACUGAACAGGAGCUUCUGUCCCAGCUUUCUGCCUGUUAAAAGGAAGUUUCUCCUCGCCACUGUCACACCAAAUGCUUGCUCUUGGGGGAAUUGUUGGGUCUCUUUAAAUCAAACUGAAUUGAACAUUUGUAAGCUUCUGUUGCCAAUUGUUUCUCUGCUGUGGCCCUCACACGUCUUGGUGUUGGAAAACAGGAAUUCAACCUCGGGGGGCAUCCGCUCACAAUGUCCACAUGUGCACCUGUAGUAACA